GUCUCAUGGAGCCUAAACUUCUCCAGCGAGUAGGAAUUAGGGUCGAUUUCGGGAUCGUUCGACGGGUGGACAUUGGCAGAGGAAUUGCCGUAAGGCGCGAGAUUGGAUUUCAGAUUCUCGGAUUUUGCCAUGGAUUUUGGAUGACAGUUAUUUCGGUAUUUUGCUAAUUGCUAAAUCGCCAUAUUGGAAAUGUUUCCGAUGGGCGUUUGGGAAACUCUGGACUUUAUAUAGGCUUUGAUUCGAUGCUCGAGACCGAGUCAACUCUCUGAGUUACCGCAUCUACUUCGAGUUCCUAGAUUUCCUUUUUCCUCUUCUUUUCUAUGCUUUUUUCUCUUUUUUUUCC
rnacentral:misc_RNA from 1 species